GACGAACGCUGGCGGCGUGCUUAACACAUGCAAGUCGAGCGAUGAAGCUUCCUUCGGGAAGUGGAUUAGCGGCGGACGGGUGAGUAACACGUGGGCAACCUGCCUCAAAGUGGGGGAUAGCCCUCCGAAAGGAGGAGUAAUACCGCAUAACAUGGUUGAAUCGCAUGAUUCGAUCAUCAAAGGAGUAAUCCGCUUUGAGAUGGGCCCGCGGCGCAUUAGCUAGUUGGUGAGGUAGAGGCUCACCAAGGCGACGAUGCGUAGCCGACCUGAGAGGGUGAUCGGCCACAUUGGGACUGAGACACGGCCCAGACUCCUACGGGAGGCAGCAGUGGGGAAUAUUGCGCAAUGGGCGAAAGCCUGACGCAGCAACGCCGCGUGGGUGAUGACGGUUUUCGGAUUGUAAAGCCCUGUCUUCGAGGACGAUAAUGACGGUACUCGAGGAGGAAGCCACGGCUAACUACGUGCCAGCCGCCGCCGUAACAC
rnacentral:rRNA from 1 species